rnacentral:rRNA from 1 species
CCCUUAGAUGCUCUGGGCCGCACGCGCGCUACACUGGUCGAUGCAACGAGUUUCUUUCCUUGGCCGACAGGCCUGGGCAAUCUUUGAACAUCGAUCGUGAUCGGGAUAGAUUCUUGUAAUUUUUGAUCUUAAACGAGGAAUUCCUAGUAAACGCAAGUCAUCAGCUUGCAUUGAUUACGUCCCUGCCCUUUGUACACACCGCCCGUCGCUCCUACCGAUUGAAUGGUCCGGUGAAGCGUUCGGACCGUGGCCUUUGGACGGUUCGCCGUCUGUUGGCUGCGGGAAGUUCGUUAAACCUUAUCAUUUAGAGGAAGGAGAANUCGUAACA